UUUAUUGGAGAGUUUGAUCCUGGCUCAGGAUGAACGCUGGCGGCGUGCCUAAUACAUGCAAGUCGAGCGAAUGGAUUAAGAGCUUGCUCUUAUGAAGUUAGCGGCGGACGGGUGAGUAACACGUGGGUAACCUGCCCAUAAGACUGGGAUAACUCCGGGAAACCGGGGCUAAUACCGGAUAACAUUUUGAACCGCAUGGUUCGAAAUUGAAAGGCGGCUUCGGCUGUCACUUAUGGAUGGGCCCGCGUCGCAUUAGCUAGUUGGUGAGGUAACGGCUCACCAAGGCAACGAUGCGUAGCCGACCUGAGAGGGUGA
rnacentral:rRNA from 1 species